GAAGUUGAGGAGGGCUCAGUAAAGGUGCAGAAGCUGAAUGCUGUAUGGGGAGCUGCUGCACUCGUUCCUGCUCUGCUUCUCUCCAUUCUUACUGCCGUUCUGUGCAUUAAGAGGAAGAGAGCAGCUGAAAGAGACACAGACAUUCAGAGUAUUUCAAUGCCUGGAGAUGACACAUACACAGCACUGAACCACAUGACCAUGUCUCCGGAUUAUGACACUCUGCAAAAUGUUCAACACACUGCCAGUGACACUUAUGCAACUCUAAACCCUGCAACCAUGUCCUCUGAUUAUGAUACUCUUCAGGUAUGAUACUCUGUGAUACUCUGAGGAAGUGACGUGGUCAGAUGUUUGAAGCCAGCAUCUCAACUGGCUACUCGACUCAGUGGGAAGAAGUGCUCCAGACCUGGAGAAUAAUACCUGUUGUGACUUUAUCUUCAGCAUCAUGAACAGCACAGGAAGGAUACUCAGGGGCAGAGUUUCAGGAUUAGAGUUAAACAGCAUUAGAAUGUCAGAACAAAUACAUGCAUUAAGUAAUUAUUACUUGUUUGUUAUUUAAGCAGUUUCACUAGUUCGUCAUUCCAUUUUUACAAAUUUAAUGUAUUGUAUAUAUUAUUUCUAAAUAGUUCUAAGCAGUCUCUGGCAAAAGAAUUUCCAUUAUCUAAUCUUACCUUUCCUUACCUUAAAGCAAAUUACUCUUUUAAUGACUUGAGUAUGGGCCAGGUCAGAUGUCAUGUCCUGUGUCUAAGGCAAAUACGUUAUUCUGAUCCAAUA